UACGGAGGAUCCGAGCGUUAUCCGGAUUUAUUGGGUUUAAAGGGUGCGUAGGCGGAUUGGUAAGUCAGCUGUGAAAGUUUACGGCUCAACCGUGAAAUUGCAUUUGAUACUGUUGAUCUUGAGUAUACAUGAGGUGGGCGGAAUUUGUGGUGUAGCGGUGAAAUGCUUAGAUAUCACAAGGAACUCCGGUGGCGAAGGCAGCUCACUGGGCUAUAACUGACGCUGAUGCACGAAGGUGUGGGUAGCAAACAGG
rnacentral:rRNA from 1 species